rnacentral:rRNA from 1 species
AAGGGAAGAGUCCAGCGCCGAAUCCCCGGCCACCCGCCGUGGGAAAUGUGGUGUGUUGGGGUGAGCGUGCCGGGCACGCGCCGGUCGGCAAGUCCCCCGGACUGGGGCCCGUCCAUAGCGGGUGAGAGACCCAUAGCCGUCUUGCGCGUUCCGGAUGCGAUCUCCUCGGAGUCGGGUUGCUUGGGAGUGCAGCCCCAAGCGGGUGGUAAGCUCCACCUAAGACUAAAUACCGCCGUGAGACCGAUAGCAAACAAGUACCGUGAGGGAAAGUUGCAAAGAACUUUGAAGAGAGAGUUAAAGAGUACGUGAAACUGCUCAGAGGUAAACGGGUGGGACCUCGAAAUCCUGUGUCGAGAGGAUUCAGUCUGGUGCGGGUUACGCCCGGUCGGCCGGACUCCUCGCGACAAGGGGCCGUCCGACGGAGCGACGUUCUCCGCGCCCGACACAUUUGACUCUCUACUGAAGGACGCUGCAGCCGGUUGGGCAGCAAAAGCGCGACGGCCUGAGGGUCGGAAAUCCGGCAGGUGGUCGGUGGCGCGCCUAGAGCGCGUCGCCGGUUUUGGCCUUUCCGUCAGUGGCCCGUCGCCCGACCGUGGUUACGGGACCCUAUCGGGUCCUCCUUCGACCCCUCCAACGGAGCGGGACUCGGGCCCGCUGUCAUCGGAAGCCGCCGAGCCGCACCCGGCCCGGGUGGGCCGGAGGGCGUUCGGUGUACCAGACGGCUGCGACCCGUCGGGGAUCGGAGGCUCGCAGCGAGUAGGUCGGUCACCCACCCGACCCGUCUUGAAACACGGACCAAGGAGUCUAACAUGUGCGCGAGUCAACGGGUCUUGUUCAGGCCCAGGGGCGCAAUGAAAGCAAAGGCCGGCGCCACGUCGGCCGCGUUGGGAUCCCCUCUUGGGGGCGCACCAACGACCCGCUCCGUCCGGCUCUCCGGUGGAGCGGAGUUCGAGCGCGC